CUUCCAGCGUCGACUCUAAAAAUCGCUCCAGUCGCCCCUCGUGGGCAGGCGACGCUCGCAGACUGUCACCGGGAGUGCCCUGAGCGCAACCGGCAGCCCCACGAUGGGGUUCACAGAUCAAACGCUGGCGGCCACUUCCAGUGUGGUUUUGACAUGAUCGGCCCUGCCGCGAAGCGGCUAACGGAUUUUUGGCGGAACCUGCGGAAGGAUCAUUA
rnacentral:rRNA from 1 species